rnacentral:rRNA from 1 species
UCAAGCGUUUAAGGGCGUGUAGUGGAUGCCUUGGCACUGAAAGCCGAUGAAGGACGUGAUAUACUGCGAUAAGUUUCGGGGAGCUGUAUGUAAGUUUUGAUCCGAAAAUUUCCGAAUGGGGAAACCCACCACUUUAUGUGGUACUUUAAACUGAAUACAUAGGUUUAAAGAGACAACCUGGAGAACUGAAACAUCUAAGUAACCAGAGGAAAAGAAAUCAAUUGAGAUUCCGUUAGUAGUGGCGAGCGAACGCGGACUAGGCCAGUAGUUUUGUUAAAAAAAUUUGAAUAGUUUGGAAAUGCUAACCAUAGAGGGUGAUAGUCCCGUAUGAGUAAUGUUUAACAAAAUUCUUGAGUAAAGCGGGACACGUGAAAUCCUGCUCGAAUAUAGGGGGACCACCCUCUAAGCCUAAAUACUCUUCAGUGACCGAUAGUGAACUAGUACCGUGAGGGAAAGGUGAAAAGAACCCCUAUUAGGGGAGUGAAAUAGAACCUGAAACUGCAUGCCUACAAUCAGUCGAAGCUCUUUUUAGAGUGACGGCGUACCUUUUGUAUAAUGGGUCAGUGACUUAAUUUAUUAAGCAAGCUUAAGCCAUCUAGGUGUAGGCGCAGCGAAAGCAAGUCUUAAUAGGGCGAUUAGUUUAAUGAAUUAGACCCGAAAACGAAUGAGCUUACCAUGAGCAGGUUGAAAGUUGGGUAACACCAACCGGAGGACCGAACCAGUUGACGUUGAAAAGUCUUUGGAUGACUUGUGGUAAGGGGUGAAAGGCCAACCAAAUUCGUAGAUAGCUGGUUUUCCGCGAAAACUAUUUAGGUAGUGCGUUGAAUAAAUAGAUGUUUAGAGGUAGAGCACUAAAUGGGCUAGGGGGAAGAGAUUCUUACCAAACCUAAUAAAACUCCGAAUGCUAAACAUUGUUCUUCAGCAGACAGACUGUGGGUGCUAAGGUCCAUGGUCGAGAGGGAAAGAGCCCAGACCACCAGAUAAGGUCCCCAAAUUAUGAUUAAGUGUGAAAGGAUGUGGAAAUUCCUUAACAGCCGGGAGGUUGGCUUAGAAGCAGCCAUCCUUUAAAGAUAGCGUAACAGCUCACCGGUCUAAUAGAGUUUCUGCGCCGAAGAUGUAACGGGGCUAAAAUCAUAUACCGAAUCUGUGGGUUUAUAAAACUUUCGAGUUUUAUAAGCGGUAGCGGAACGUUCUGUAAGCCUGUGAAGGGAUACCCGUGAGGGAUCCUGGAGGUAUCAGAAGUGCGAAUGCUGACAUAAGUAACGAUAAAAGAAGUGAAAAACUUCUUCGCCGAAAAUCCAAGGGUUUCUGCGCAAGGUUAAUCCGCGCAGAGUUAGUCGGCACCUAAGGCGAGGGCGAAAGCCGUAGUCGAUGGAAAUAAGGUUAAUAUUCCUUAACCAGAUGGUAGUGACGGAUCUUGUAAGUUGUAUACUCUUAAUGGAUUGAGUAUGCCGCGAAAAGGUUCCAAGAAAUAGCUCCAUCAUUAGACCGUACCCUAAACCGACACAGGUGGAUUAAUAGAGUAUAUUUAGGCGCUUGAGAGAAUGAUGUUGAAGGAACUCGGCAAAAUGCUUCCGUAACUUCGGGAUAAGGAAGACCUGUUUUUAGGCAACUAGAGAUGGGUGGCACAAGCCAGGGAGAAGCGACUGUUUAUCAAAAACACAGGGCUCUGCUAACACGUAAGUGGAUGUAUAGGGUCUGACGCCUGCCCGGUGCUGGAAGGUUAAUGCGGUUGGUGCAAGCUAACUUCUGAAGCCCCAGUAAACGGCGGCCGUAACUAUAACGGUCCUAAGGUAGCGAAAUUCCUUGUCGGGU